rnacentral:lncRNA from 1 species
UUUCUGCUAAAUCACUGAGCUUUUCUUCCUUUGGCGUUGUCUUCCUCCUUCUAGAAGGCUGCUUGGUUUCUGCAAGUUUUUCCAAGGUCGACCAUCGUGGAAGAGAGCUAACCGUGUUGCUUUGUUUCUUAGGUUUUGACAACCUUUUAAAAACAGAGCUUUGGGGUGUUGACGGGUUAAGCUGCUAGAAGACUGAAGUUUGGUCUUGACCACCAAUGCGAUCAAGUGCCAAAAUUCUAGAUUUUGAACGAUUCAACCUAUCAAAGACUAACAUUCCAAGUGAGGGUUUAGGCUCAUCUUGAUUUUGUUCAAUGUUCAUGCUGAUGUGUUGAGCAUUAACGUUUUUCGUUUUGCUUGAAAUCUUCAUGGUUGUAUUUGGUGUGAAGCCAAGUCCAGCUUUAUUGUUGUUAAAUCCGUAACCAUGCUCCCUUAAUUUCUUUUGAGUCUUGGUGAGGUUACGUUCUUUGUCGUUGACGGUGUUAGAAACCUUUUUCCAAGAUUUAAAAGGGAUUCCAAAUCGUACCCAGCCUUUGACAUAAGUUUGUAAACAUUUGGGUUGAAACCUUCUUCGGUCCUCUUGGUUGGAAGAAUGCUUGAUUCCACCCCCUUUGGAAGGGGUUUUACGAAACCUUGCAAUGGUAUUGAAACUUUAACAUCGCCUAGCUGUGUCAGAGGU